GGGGGCAUAGCUCAGCUGGGAGAGCAACAGACUGAAGAUUAUAUAAUCAGGGGCUUCUGGAGGUCCCCGGUUCAAUCCCGGGUGCCCCCA